rnacentral:rRNA from 1 species
GACGAACGCUGGCGGCGUGCCUAAUACAUGCAAGUCGAACGCAGUGGGGACGGGUGAGUAACAAGUGGGUAACCUCCCAUCAGAGGGGAUAACACUUGGAAACAGGUGCUAAACCGAUACUGCUGGAUGGACCCGCGGUGCAUUAGCUAGUUGGUGAGGUAACGGCUCCCCAAGGCCACGAUGCAUAGCCGACCUGAGAGGGUGAUGAGCCACAAGGGGACUGAGACACGGCCCAGACUCCUACUGUGAACAUCAGUAUUAAAUCUUCGGCAAUGGACGAAAGUAUGACCGAGCAACGCCGCGUGAGUGAAGAAGGUUUUCGGAGCGUAAAACUCUGUUGUUAGAGAAGCGGGAGCUAAAAAGAAAGCCACGGCUAACUACGUGCCAGCCGCCGCGGUAAUUA